rnacentral:rRNA from 1 species
UGCCUACGGGAGGCUGCAGUGGGGAAUAUUGGACAAUGGGGGCAACCCUGAUCCAGCCAUGCCGCGUGAGUGAUGAAGGCCUUAGGGUUGUAAAGCUCUUUCACCGGGGAAGAUAAUGACGGUACCCGGAGAAGAAGCCCCGGCUAACUUCGUGCCAGCAGCCGCGGUAAUACGAAGGGGGCUAGCGUUGUUCGGAAUUACUGGGCGUAAAGCGCACGUAGGCGGACAUUUAAGUCAGGGGUGAAAUCCCGGGGCUCAACCUCGGAACUGCCUUUGAUACUGGGUGUCUGGAGUAUGGAAGAGGUAAGUGGAAUUGCGAGUGUAGAGGUGAAAUUCGUAGAUAUUCGCAGGAACACCAGUGGCGAAGGCGGCUUACUGGUCCAUUACUGACGCUGAGGUGCGAAAGCGUGGGGAGCAAACAGGAUUAGAUACCCCAGUAGUC